rnacentral:rRNA from 1 species
CCUACGUGAGGCUGCAGUGGGGAAUAUUGGGCAAUGGGCGCAAGCCUGACCCAGCAACGCCGCGUGAAGGAAGAAGGCUUUCGGGUUGUAAACUUCUUUUAAGGGGGAAGAGCAGAAGACGGUACCCCUUGAAUAAGCCACGGCUAACUACGUGCCAGCAGCCGCGGUAAUACGUAGGUGGCAAGCGUUGUCCGGAUUUACUGGGUGUAAAGGGCGUGCAGCCGGAGAGACAAGUCAGAUGUGAAAUCCACGGGCUCAACCCGUGAACUGCAUUUGAAACUGUUUCCCUUGAGUGUCGGAGAGGUAAUCGGAAUUCCUUGUGUAGCGGUGAAAUGCGUAGAUAUAUGGAAGAACACCAGUGGCGAAGGCGGCUCUCUGGUCUGCAACUGACGCUGAGGCUCGAAAGCAUGGGUAGCGAACAGGAUUAGAUACCCGAGUAGUC